UUUAGUAUUUUUGAAUUUCGCGCCCUGCAUUUUACCGGAUGUUGUCAAAUCGAUCCCGGUAACGGGAUUCUAGCCGUAAGGGAUCCUAUUAACAAGAUGUGCCACCUGAUUUCACCUCUCGCUCUAUCGAUUUCAACAUGAUAUCGAUACGAGUAAUUCACCAAACAGUGUUGCGUUUCCCUUUCUGUUUUGGCAACCCCGUAUCAAAAUCCAACACUCUGAAAUGUAGCUGAUGGUCUUCUGCAAGUCGUCCUCUAACCAGUGAAGUAAAAAAGAUCUCCAGUUUCCAUGUGUUUUUUGUCGUUGUGUUAGUUUCAACAGCGCCUAAAACCAGAUUUCCCCCCCAAUCAAUAUGAUUAAUUGCCACUUGUCAAAACAGGGUUUUUGGUGCUGAAAACUAGCUGUUAUUGGCAGAUAGGUUUGAAACUCUAUUUCAUAUAGGUCUAUUAAUAGGUCUAUUGGCCUGCUUGAUGUCACCGAUCAGCUCUUACCCUAAAAGGGUAUUAUCAUAAUUUUCAAGGUAUUAUUCUAACCUCAUAGUUUGGAAAUGUAUGUAAAACACUGGAAAAUCACGUUGGACUGCACAGGGCCAUUACGUUUUAGGAAUAUAAAUUGAACUUUCGACAUUAAUUUCUAAUGGCAUCAUUCUUAAUCAGGUUAAAACUGCUGAAAGAGUCUAAAAAUGUGCUGCUGAUGAUAUACUAGAUAUCACCGAACCGGGUUUUCUCUGCCUAAUGCUAACAAGAAAGACGGCAGUAUAUUUUGCUUUAUUAAAGAUUCUGACUUUACAUUACCUCUUCAACAUAAUGUUUCAGGAUGAUAUAAAAAGAUAGAGUAGCAGGGUGUAUUCAUUAGUGGUAUUCCUUUACAAAACAUUUUGUCUGUUGCAAAAAGGAAACCGUUCACUGUUUAUUCUAGGAACCAAACGGAAGAAACAAAAUAGGGAGGACCUACCGGAAUUUGUCCAAUAGAAACUCUUGUUUUCGUUGCAAAACGUUUUCCGUUUGGAGUAAACGUUUUCUGUUGCAAAACAUAUUGCAACAGACUUAGAUUUGAUGUAUUUUACCAUGUGCAACAGAUAAAAUAUUUUGCAACAGAAUCUGACACCUCCCAAGUUGCACCACUUGUUUUUGUUGUUCUGUUUUCAAAAGGGACUUUACAUUGAUUGUCUGUGUAUUCGCAGAAACGAGGACUGUCUUAAAAGUGCGAGUAAAAUGUGGUGUUAGCUCAACAACCUCAAUGGCUUUGCAACCACAUGAAAUCUCAAACUGACUGUAAUACGUUCAGGGACCUCUCCAAUCCAAAGCAAUCAUUUUGGUUAUUUUUUACUUUAAAUAAAAUACUUCCUUAACUUAAAACCACCCCAUAUCACAUGUAUGAACACAACCAACUGUUAUUGAUUCAGGGAUCUCUUCUCUCCAAUCCACGGCAAUUACUGUAGAACUUUUUGACUCUAUUUCCUAUGAAUUUUUAUUCCAUUUUCAUUGCAAAUACUUCCUUAAAAACCUCAGUAGCUUCCACCCCACAUGACUUUAAUGAAUACAACCAACUGUUAUUGAUUCAGGGAUCUCUUCCCCUCCAAACUACACCAAUUACUUUUGCACGUUGUCUAUUUUUGCUGAAGACAAAUUCCUAAAAGUCAAAGAUAAAAGCAAGGGGUGUAACUUGUUUGAUACCGUCAGCUGAUUUAGAAUACAGAGCGGCUGCAGGUACCAAUUCUUCGGAACCCUUAUCGCGAUAGCUAAAGAUCCAAAGCUUCUGCGCACGUGUCAUUUCUAUCAUCCUGGUACGUUCCAUUGAAAAGGUAUUGACGAGCAUCUAUAAUAUCAAGUUGAAUGAAAGCUAUAGCUAGCUAGCAUAACUGGCUACAUUUCAAGUUGAAUUUCAAAUAAUGAGUAGAAUGCAUACAUUUUGAUCAACCGCUUAGCUCUGAUUUAUUCCAAUAAGCUGUCUAUUACCCAAAGGAUGUGGACUUGCUGAUUUCUUUUUUCCUGUCGCGGCUUCAGAUCGUCUGUUGUUCUUUGCUAUCAUUGCUAUUGGGGGGCUCCCGAGUGGCGCAGUGGUCUAAGGCACCGCGUCUCAGUGCCAACGUUAUAUUGCAGUGAAACCUUAGCGGCCUCCAAUAACUUUACCCUGUUGUCUUUUCAGCCUUAAAACUGGUGCCAGAACUGCGACAUCUGAUGUUGCAAUAUGCCUCAUCAACUCCUCAAGUUUACAUAAGAGUGCCCACUACAAUGAACUGGGAAUUUACCAGUAUCGUUUUAAUAAUAUUUACCUAGUUGUUGUUGUGUAGCCUGGCCCCAGGUCUGUACUGUCUUGCCAACUCCCACCGGUUAUUGUCACGUCAAACAAUGAUCAUAGCAGUUGGCAAGACGGCACAAACAGAUAUGGAACCAGGCUAGUUGUUGAGAGUGUGUUGUGUUGGAUUGUUUUCCACCCUUUAGUAUUUUCAUCCUGUCAAGUGAGACAGUCAACAUAUGGAGUCAUCUCCUGGGGCUCCUGCUCUUCUUCCUACUGGGGGUUAAGGACAUGUCACGGUACUGCCAGCUUCAGGAGCCAACACAGAAGACUACGUCAUCUCCUGCAUAGGACGGUUCUGCUUUCAGGUGUGUAUGCUGUGUUCUGCGGGGUAUCACCUGUUCUCCUGCCCCCUCUCAGAGAAGAAGUGCUGCCACGGGACUACGUUGGAACCUUGGCUGUUACGUUCCAGGGGUCUUGUAUGCCUCCCACUGCGUCGCUGUGUCUUAGACAAUACAUUCCAUCAUUUGUUGUACUUUUCACUCAUACCGUUUGUUUCAGUAAAGAUAACAUUUUAUAACACAUGCACUCUGACACUGUAAACAUGUAACUACACAAACGGGCUUUGAAAUUACAUCUCUUCUCCUCCUGACAUAUCUUUUCCCAUAGCCUAUCUUCUACCCUCCCUCUGCUCUAAAGUUCUGGAGACAGGUGUACCUGAUGAUUGUUAUAGCAUUGAUAUUGGCUGUGUUCUUGGCUCAGAUCCACUCUCACUACCCUAAGGAGUGGCGACACCAGCGUACUGCCAUCCUCGGCUCAGUGGCUGGCUACGGGGUCAUCCAAGCCGCCCACUGGGUCUGGCUCAAUGGAAGCUUCAGCUCUGCUGUCGUCCAGAUGAGUCAUCAGAUACCUGAAUUACAAUAUUAGUUGUUCCUGCCUCUUGAUGGUGAUGUAUUAGAUAGCUGGAGCUGAGUUCCUCUUUUACAUCGGUCAGCUGAACUACCUGGUUGCCAGCCAGCAGGUGUGACAUGUCUUGGUGGUGUUUAUGCUCUGCUUGUGGCACCAGACUUCUGUGUAUUUAAUGAACUUCAGGCACAACCAGCCCUGCCUCAUAGACUGGCCCAGCCAACAACCGAGCUGCCACAGACUCUACUGUAGCCACUCAAUGCAAACCAGACUACAACUGAACCUUUAACGUAACGUAACAAAAUGUGGGAAAAGUCAACGGGUCUGAAAACUUUCCGAAUGCUCUGUAUGUACUAAAAGGGACAUCAUUUCAAUGUAUCUGUACUAAGGCAUGUCUCUCUUUUGAUUAUUUUAAAUAAAU